AGCGCAGCUUCCGGCCGCUUCCGCCUGGUCUCCAGGGAAACCAUGAGCCGACCGCCCCCAGCCGCUUCGGCCUUCACGGCUGCGUAGUCCGGGCCGACCAGGCAGUUGCCGGGAGGAACGCGCGAGCUAGAUCUUUGGAGAGAGUCCCACACCACAAAUUUUAACUUUUUAGCUUUACAAAGAGGCCAGCCUGUUCUCCCGAUAACUGUUAGCAAAAUUGGUAACCCUUAGACACUAAACGACGUACGGUGAUGGACGGUGAGAGACAGGGUGGGAAUUAUGGUAAGAGCAAGGCGGCCGUGUAAAGUAAUAUGAUUAGCAAGUAUGUUAAAGUUUGUUGCGUUUUGUUUGUUGUUCGAUUCAAAGACACUGUGACAGAUUAGACCCCUGAACUCUUAAUUAUCUAAGGUCCAUAGGGUUGUGAUAUAUGCGUUUUGGAAUCAUAAAAUUUCCAAUCCAGACCCUCCAACUUGCUAACUGUGUGACUUUGGCAGGUUGCAUAGUUGCUCUGAGCUUCAAUUUCAACACUGUAAAAAAGAAAAAAAAAAGUUUUCACUGUCUUGAGAGUGAAUGAAUGAAAACUAACAUAUACUUUAGUAUUCCCAUGACACCUGGCACAUAGAAGGUGCUCAAUAAAUGUUAAUUCUCUUUGCCUUCUGUUAAGAUGUUUGUGUGCCUCUGUGUGUGUGUGUGUGUGUGUGUGUGUUCUAAUAGAGGAAAUUUGGUCAUUUCUCUGUGUGUGUUUCUAUGUAUUUGUACACAUUCAUACACACAUAUUUUGCUUUUUUACAGGAUUCUGUUCUUACAAGUAGGAUGUGAAAACCUUGACAAACGCUUUAAAGGAUAUGCUGAUGCAUCCCUAAAGAAAAAGAAAUAACAGGCAGAACUGGGGUUCAGUUUGGAGACCAAGUCUUCCUCUUUGGGGGAACAAAUCGAAUCAGAAAAGACUAAGAAAGAUGAGGAAAUAUCUCAGACUGGAGGAGACUUAGAAAAUGUAACAAAUAUAUGAGAGCUAGGAUCCUGGAUCAGAUCCUGGGACAGAAAAAGGACGUUGGGAGAAAAACAGGCAAAUUUGAAUCAGUUAUGCGGUCACUAGUUUUGUACCAGUGUUUGUCUCCUGCUUUUGAUAAUUUUAUUAUCGAUUUGUACGCUGUUAACAUUAGAGAAACUGAGUAGAGGGGAGACAACAACUUUCUGAAUUAUUUUUGCAACUUCUUUCCAACUUUUGUAAGUCUAAAAUUAUUUCAAAAUAAAAAGGUUUUUUUUUUGUAAUUGCGUUGGAAAAUUCCUCAGGAAAUUGUUACUGCAGAGGGAAACAUACUAUUUCUCAACAGUUCCAAUAGAGCUGGUUUCCCCUCCAGCUUUGAACCAGAGCAUUGUUUCUUUAGCUAAACAGCAGAUAAAGUACAGUUUUUGACCUGUGCUUUAGGAAUAUUUUGGACAGAAAUAUACAUUUCAAGGUGCCAGAAUUAUACUUUGCACCGCAAAAUGUCUGUCCUUGGAGAAGACUAUUGGAGGCAAGACCAACUGAGAGAAAGAUCCACAUUUCUCAUCUUGUAUUUAUGCUAGAGUAUUGGCUCAUUGAGUGGGCUAUUGGGCUAAAUUGCCUAAAUAAUUUAAAAUUGGGGAAAAUUUUUCCUCUUUCCAUUUUUUUUCUUUCUUGUCAAGUGCAUAUAGUUGAAUUUGAAUAAGUAAAAUGUAGAUAACAUUUGACUUCACUGUGGUCCAGUGGAGGAAGUAAAUACCCACAAAUUUUGCUAAUCAAGUGCUGGGGGAGUUCACUCUUUGAGAUCAUCUUGUAAAUGAUAAAAUCAUUAAAAGUAAGUCCUUUCGGCAGUUUAGCAAUAAUACCACUUUAUAAUUACUCUUCAGUAAUCACCUAGCACAUGCUUGCCCAUUUGUCUCUCUCUAGUCUAAUGCAUAACUCAAGAAGGAAAUGUCUCUGUUUUACAGAGGAGGGGAAAUGGAGGCUCAGAAAAGUUAAACAACUGGCCCGAUCUAGGCUUUGACCUCAGAUUGCGCUAUCUCUAAAUGUCUCACUAUUUGUAUGGGUUGACCUAGCCUGAAACAAAUUCUACCUUUAGUGAAGUUGUAUCAUAGUGAAAUUUCAGUAAUACAAGUCCUUUGACAUAUUUGAAAUAUUCUGCUAAUUAUAAGAGGAAAUGUGAUACUGGAAAAUGAUCUUACAUAAUUCUAUUUUCUUCAAUAUGUAGAAAUAGAUGAGAAAAUCCAAGGUCUUCUAGUUAUCAAGUUAUUAGGUUCUUUUAGUAAUGGAAUGUAUUAAGCUAAUAAAUUAUGUAUUUCAUAAGUACAUUAACUUAACUAUAUCAGGAUCCUGGAGUGCUUUUUAAUAAUGUAUGGUAUUGCAGUAUAAUAAAUGUGCUUUUUAAAAGCCAGAAAAGAGGUCAGUGAUCUAAAACAAGUAACUCAACAUUUACUUUAAAAAGUCUACUCAUUGGCCCUUUAUUUACCAUUCAGAACUAUAGUGAAAAAUUUAUGGGUAAUCUCCUAGGCACAAAGUUACCAUUUCAAAGCAAGGAUAAAUAACCAAUCUUACUCUGAUCUCAUUGACAGUUCCAACUAAAUAAUUUAAUUAUGGACUUUGGACAUGGGAAAUAUUAUUCAGUUGAGCUUUUAUUCUAGAAUACAGAUGCUCUGUAAUUGGAUCGGUAGACAAAGAUCAUUUGCUUGAUAAAGAGGGAAGAAAAACGUUGUGCCUGUUGCUGCUUUCACCUUACAAUUAAAGUGACAUAAUUAGAUAGUAUACUUUCUCACCCUGUUAUAAGAUACAGGUUUAAACUUAUCCCUUACAUCACAAAACCCACAAGUUUCAUUCCCUGUGCAUCAGCAGCCCUUCUCAGUGAAGUCGAAAUGGAGUAAAGGGGUUCUGAGAUCCUCAUUGUCUGAUCAGACAGUGUUCUCUCCAAGGGGUGUAAUAAGCAAAGAACACCAGCGCUCCUUACCUGACUUUUCAGGACUGUAGUGUGACCUGCAUGAUCACUGCUUCCUAAACUUUCCUGAGCACAAGAAUAAUCUAGAUGCCAACUUAAAAUACCUUUUCCUAGGCAUGUCUUCUAGAAAUUAUAAUUUAAUAGAUGGUAGUGAGGCCUAAGAUUCUGAAUUUUAGGCAAAUGUCACAGAUGACGAGGCAUAUUUGAGACACAAAUUUUAAAAAACAAAGCAUCUGGGGCUCCUAUGGGGUGUUAUCAGAAUCUGGAAACAGUAGAACUCUGCUAUUUGUCAAAUUUCAGUUUUCCUCAUUUAUGAACUUUUUAACCUCUCCUUCAAUGUCCAUUUUAAAGGGUAAUAAUAAUAUAUAUGUCUUAAAUUUAUAGUAAAUAUUAAAUAGGAAGGAUCCAGGCUCUUGCUCGGGCUCCAGACUGUCUGGUCUGGGGAUCAGCAGCUAGCAGCCCCUGAGCACUUGUUACAAAUGCAGAAUGUCAGCCCCUGCCCCAGACCCGCUGAAUCUGAACAUGCUUGUUAGGAGGAUGUCUUGGGUGAUUCAUAUGCACAGUAACGUUGGUGAAGCCGCAACCUAGUCACUUUGUGAGUGUUCAGGAAAUGCUAGAUUAUUUCCUUCUCAUUACAGUCGUUGUACCAAUACUUCGUAUUGGAGCUCAGUGACUGUCAACACCAUUUCUUAUUGCUGGUUUCAGCCCAGCAGGCACACUUGCCUCUCUUGCACGGUGGAAGGGCAUCCAUAAAUAAACAAAUGCAUGGACUGGAAAUCAGGCUACCGCAAAAGAUUUAUCGUUGAACCCUGCAGCGUCAGAAGAGGAGAAUUAGGUAGAACCUGUCUUACUGCAUCAAAGACAUUUUCGGUGAACGCCCAUCCUCGGAGGCUUCUGCUUACACUAUACUCUGUAGCUAAGCCAGCAGACUGACUUCAACCACAACCACACGUCUCAUGUUUUCAAUGCUCUGCAGAGGGUGGUAGAUUCAUUCUUACCUAUUGUUCCUAAGCUCUUGGGGAAAGAUCUGUAUAUGGAAAGAUUGAAUGCCAAGUUGAGUAUGCCUGAAAUCCACAUGUAGGUCUUUGAACUCACUACCCUUCCUUUGCAGUGGUGUGGAGGUCAAACUUACUUGCUCUUUUCCAUUUCAGUUGAAUAGAUUCAACAGUGAAAAUGAGACAUGCCUCGAAAUCGAGAAAGUAAGGGAGAACAUCUGUUACUAAGAUCAAUGGGUCACCAAAGAAUUAGGUCUUCAACAAAAAGGGUUUUGUACCUAAAUUCACCAAAUAAACCAUCCUUCACGGUAUAGGUUGAAUUGUGUGGUCCCCAAAUUCAUAUGUUGACAUCCUAACCCUCAGUACCUCAGAAUGUGACCUUUCUUAGAGAUGGGGUUUUUACAGAGGGAAUCGUGUUAAAAUGAGGUCACUAGGGUGAAUCCUAAUCCAAUAUGACCAGUGUCCUUAUAAGAAGAGGGAAUUUAGACACAGUCACAGGGGGAAGUCUGAAGACACAUGGGGAGAAGAUGGCCAUCCAUCACUUCAAGGAGAAAGGCCCGGAACACAUUCUUACCUCAAAAGAAACAAACCCUGCUAAUACUUUGAUUUGGGGCUUCGAGCCUCAAGAACUGUGAGACAAUAAACUUCUAUUGUUUAAGCCACCCAGUUUGUGAUACUUUGUUGCAAUAGCCUUAGCAAGUUAAUACACCUCAUGAGUCACUAGGAAGA